ACAUGAAUUUUCUAAUUCUUAAUUGAUUGCUUUUGAAUUUUCAGAGUAUUUCAACGCCAAUCCAGCAUGCUUCUGAGCUCCCAAAGUGGAACUACGAUGGAUCAAGUAUUGGACAAGCGUUCGGAGAAGACAGUGGAGUUAUUCUAUAUCCUCAGGCAAUCUUUAAAGAUCCUUUUCAUGGUGGUAACAACAUCUUGGUUAUUUGUGAUGCCUACACACCAACGGGAGAGCCAAUUCCUACAAACAAACGCCAUAAAGCUGCUUAGAUUUUUAGCGACCCAAAAGUUAUAUAUCAAGUUCCAUGGUAACUUUAAAUUCUGCCUCUUAUUUAUCAAUUAACUAUUUCAUUUAGUUUUAAGAUAAUUAGCAUCUACUAAUAUAAUAAUGAAUGAUUGUAACUCUUCUUUUUAUUAGGAAUAUCAUUAAUAAGUUUUAACUCUAUACUUUUGA